UCUCCUUUUCCUCAUCAACCUCCUCUACCUUCCCCUCCUCAUCUUUCUUCUCCUCUUCCUCCUCAUCAUCAGAAAUUUCCUUCUCUAUGGUCUUCUCAACCCACAGAGAGAUAGGGUAGCUAAUGAACUCAGAGUGCUUUUUAAUCAGGUCCUUCAGCCUCCGUUCUUCAAGGUAUUCAAGCUGAUCCUCCUUGAGAUAAAGGACCAUUUUUGUGCCCCUACCAAGGUUCUCACCAGAUGUAUCUCUUGUUACGGUGAAAGACCCACCAGCUUGAGACUCCCAGAUAUAUUGUUCAUCAUCAUUGUGCUUUGUGGUCACAACAACCUUCUCAGCUACCAAGUAAGCUGAGUAGAAACCAACACCAAAUUGCCCAAUCAUGCUAACAUCGGCACCAGCAGCAAGAGCUUCCAUGAAUUCCUUGGUUCCAGACCUCGCAAUUGUACCCAGGUUAUUCACCAAAUCUGCAAAUAAAACAUAGAGAUCAGUACAUACAAAUGCAAACAGAUAAUAUGGUUGAAAAUCUCUGAUUGAGCACCUAGAUUCCAAUAUGUGUUCCUACUUACCAGCCUUUGUCAUACCAAUACCGCUAUCAACAAUAGUAAGUGUAUUGUUGGUCUUGUCUGGAAUAAUAUGGAUGAAGAGCUCUGGUUGAGCAUCUAGCUUGCUCUUGUCAGUUAAGCUCUCAAAACGGAUCUUGUCCAGAGCCUAAAAGUAUAAUAACCAAAAUACAAAUAAAUAUCAGCUAUGGCAUGCAAUUUAACCACCGACCAAAUAUUUUACAUCCUAUGAUAUAAUGGCAUCCAGAUAACAGAAGACUUGAGCAAGUAACAUACUGAUUUAAAAAAUGAUCACAGAAAACAUCUUUAUGAAAAGUAAGGCCAAAAAACUUGAGGCUCUUAGCCUCUGCUCUAGUGGUCUUAUAUAGUCAAGAGGACAGUGUCCCGGACAAUCACAUCAAACUAUCUACAAAUAUAAUACAGAUAAAAGAACUCAAAAAAUAAUAUCUCAAGACUGCUCAUAUUUCAAAAUGAGCAGAGAGCCAUAGCACUACAGUAUCCUAAAAGAUAAGCUAUCCACGAAAAUAAUAAAGAUAAAAAUACCUCCAAAUAAAAACUCAACUGCUCUUAAUAUAAUCAAAUUCCAACAUCAUAGUGAUCAAUGGCACUACAGUAUCCUACAAUAUCACGUUAAAGCUAUCCAUGAAGCAAUACAUAUAAAAACCGUGAAAAAAAAAACUCAGGCUCUCCAUAAUAAUCAAAUUUCAAAAUCAAAUACAGCGACCGCUGCUAAACAGUAUCCUAGAUGAUCAAGUUAACCUAUCUACGAGGACAAUAACAAUCCUCGGAUUGCUCUUAAAUAAUCAAAAUCACAUAGGUCGGCGGCAAUACAGUACCCUAGAAGAUCACAUUAAACUAUAUUACCUUAAAAUAAUCACACUUCAAAAUCACAAAGAGCAAUGGAACUACCAGACGAUAAGUUAAGCAAUACAUAAAGAGAAUACAUAACAAAUUAAAAAAUGUCAACAGUCGUUAACUUACAUCGGAAGAAUUACUGAUGAGUUCACGGAGAAAGAUCUCCUUGUUGCUGUAGAAAGUGUUUAUAAUAAGACUAAGAAGCUGAUUGAUCUCAGCCUGGAAAGCAAACGUCUCUGUGUCCGCCAUUUUUUGUAGAUCUCAGAGCUGUUGCUACUACGAAGAAGAAUCUCAGGCGAAGUGAAACACAAGCAAGAGGAGGCUGAAGAGAAGUUUUUAAUGACUUUAUAUAGUAGUCAAUUUAGGGUUUCUAGAUCCUUCUAUGGCUAUUGUCUUUUUGUUUUGUUUUUUUAGCUAAUAAUUGGAGUUUUAGUCGGAGAAAAUGAUCAAAAUAAAUUUCUUUUGUUAUACAUUAUGGAUUAUUUUAAUUAAGUGAAAUAUAUUAAAGAUUAAAAUAUAUAUAUUUAUCAUACAUUAAGAAUUAUUUCAAUUAAGGAUCAAAAUAAAGUAUUACCCAUACAUUAAAACCAUUUUGAUCAUUUUCUCGUUUUAAUCAUUCCUUUUACGCUUUCUUAUAGAACAUAUCCUAAUUUGGGUAAUUAUUUAUUUUUCCUUUAUUUUUUGCUUAUUCUUUCAUUCUAGUAGUUAUAGUAUUUAUCUUAUAAUAUUUUAUCUUUUGACUUUUGUUACUAUCUACUAUCUCUUGUACUUCAAUUGUCGCACUAUUUAGUUGUAAUUACUAUUAUUUAUUUUCAGAAUAUUUUGAUCAUUUUUCCUUUAGUGUUUUAUCAUGAUUUCUUCACUUUUCGUUAUUUACUUUUUGAUCUACUUUGAUAUAUUUUUGUUUGAGUCAAGAGUCUAUCAAGACAAUCUUUCUAUCUUCUAAGAUAGAAUAACGUAUUCGCACACUCAAUUCUUCUAAAUCUACACUUGUUGUAUUAUAAUAGAUUGGGUUGUUAGCUUCUUCUUAAGUGUUUACUUCUUUACAUUUUGAAUAUCGUCAGUGAACUUUCUAACUGCACCAUUAUUGGUUUAAAAGAAGUUUGGAUUUUAUCAGCAAUGGUUCUUAUUUAUAGAUUCUUAGCUUAAUUUUCCUACGGACAAAAAUUAUUAGUUGUAAUCUUUGAAACAAAAACCAAAAAAAAAAAAGCUGAUUUUUUUUUUUAUUUUUAAAGUGAAUGAAAAUGUGAAAGGAUCACAAAUUAGAUUUAAUUUCUAGUAUUUAAUUUAUUGAUGUUCACAUGACUUUGUGGUAUAGUCAUAUGGACUUUGUGAGAAUUGAAUUGUCAAUUUUUUCUUUAUAGUAUCUUGAAAAUAAUCAUUUUGAUUUUCUCAAUCUUUUCUUGUGAGAUGAACUUAAAAUAAAUAAAUAAAUAAAAGUAUCUUUACUUCUUGUUUUAGUUUUUAGUUCCUCCACCCACGAAGGAAGGAGGUAUUCGUUAUUUAAAUGGCUCAUGUUAAAUAUUUAACUAUAAUUAAAAUUUAAAUUUUAUAUAAUUAGUGUAAUUUAUACAAACGUUAUAUGUGAUUAUACAAAAAUUAUGUUCGAAUCAAAUUGUAUAGCAAAAUAUAUAAACAUUACAAAUUGUAUAAUGAAUUAUACAAACGUUACGUACAAAUUAAUAGCAAAAUAUACAAGAGUUAUAUAAAAACUAUGAAUUAUACAGACGUAUAUAAAUGUUGCGCGAAUUAUACAAAUGUUGCUAUAACUAUAGUUAUGAAAUGUAAUUACUCAAACUACAGUUAUAUAACAUAAUUAAGAUAUUUUUACGCGGCUAUAUACGAAAAUUCCUCUAAAAGAAAAUAUAUAUAACUAUAUUUGUAAUGUAAAUAGAAUUUGAAUUAGUCAACAAAUUAGAAAUUUAAAAGGGGAAAAAAUCAAAGUACAACAUUAUAUAUAUUUUUAAAGUUGCCUAAAUCCUAAUCAAAGAUCUCAUGCUCAAAUGCUAGGAUAUGAAAUUAUUUUUGUUAGAAAAUGCUUUACCUUUUAGUAUAAAACUUUUAAAUAUUAAAUUCGAAUUUAGUCAGAUCUUUAUGUGAAUAUCGAAUAUCGAGAAUUGAGAUAGAUCGAAAAUAAUUAAAAUUAAUUAAUAUAUAAAAAAAUAUUAAAGGAUGCAUCACGUUGGUCGUUAUCAUGUUCAUGUGUUCAUGUCUGUAUUCCUGCGUGGGUCCCACUUUAGCCCACAUCCCACGUUCAAAUUGUUGACCCAUAACUUAUUGCUUAAUCACAUUCUGACCCCUCUAAUUAUCAUCAUUGUAUAAAUAGCCUGUUUUAAAUUACUAUUUUUUUUAAUAUAAAAAUAAUUUAAUUUUGUAAAUUCUCUUUUUAUUUUUAAUUGAAUGAUUUAUAACUAUACAAAUGGUCGAUAAGUGUUUUAAAUUACAUAUAUUUAAAGUCUUUUAUUUUUUUAAAAAAAUUUGUAUCAAGUCAAAUGUUACAUAAAUUGAGAUAAAGGAAGAGUUAGACGAAGAAAGGGUUAAACAUUUGAGGAGAUUAAAAUGUAUGCAGACCUUAUCACUAUCUCAUUGAGAUAUAGAUGAUGUUUUUGGAAAAUUCUUAUCUUAAAAAUUAAUUAUAAGCAGAAGAUACUAGAUAUGAAAGAAAAAGAAAAAAAAUGACUAAUAAUGAAAAACAAAUGAUAGUAUAUAAUACGAUAAAAGUAAUAAAUAUAAGACGGAUAAUGACAAAACAAAAUAUAAAGACACAAUUAAUUCUACAACUUUAAUAUAUCACAACCUACUUCUACUAACAUAUUAACCUUCUACCUAAUAAGUGAGCUCUAUGGUGAAACAGUAAUGGACCAUGUGUUCUAAACUAAGUGGUCCUCAAAUCAUUGAGAUGUUUUGGGAUGGUUGAAGUUGUGGAUACUAAUAAAGACAUCACUCAUAUUGAGUCUGUGAAGUGGUAAUAGUAAGUCCUCAAAAAAAAUUUCCAUUGGGAGAGUCAUAAAUCUGACAAAUUCUUCUUGUGUCAGCUUAGUCCAAAAAUACCCUCAACCCUGCAAAAUUCCCUCUGUAAAACUUGAAGUCACCAUUAAUGGUGAAUCAAUAAAGUCAAUCUUAGGAAUUUUCCCAUUUUGAAGAAGAACAAUCAUAAAGAUUGAAUCUUUUUGAGUUUUUGAGGUUAAAAAACAAUCUUUUGAUCUUCUGCUCUUGAGGGGCAGAGAUUAAUGGAGCUAAUACCUUACUCAGACCCAAAUUCUGAAUCAAGCUGCGCUAAUCCACCUUGGGAAGAUAUGUUUCGAUCAGCUUCAAUGAGGAAACCAGAAGAACCAAAACCCCAGAACCAGGUUCCUUCAGAGGCUCAGCCAAAAAAGGAAAAUAACCCAAAUCAAGAUUCAAUGUCUGCUGACCCUCAGGUGCGUUUAGCCCUUUAUAUAGCUAUGGCUCAUGCUGGACUUGUGUUCACUAUUUUUAUUAUUUAUGGAGUUGGUAAAUUACUUGAAGAGUAUUUGAGAGCUAUGUUAUGGGCUGUACUUUGUUCAAUUCCAUUGAGGGGAAUUCAACAAACGCUUGUUUCAUUUUGGUCUGAACCUUUAAAGUUAGGCUUUACUGAGACCAUUUUAGCUGUCCCUGUAGCUGUUGUCAGUGUUUUUCUUGGGACCCUUGUUGAUAUUAAAGAGAAGAUUUUUAGGGUUGUUCUAAGGAGGCCUAAAGGUAACACGACGAGGCGUCGUUCGAGUGGAUUUUUCGUACUGUUGAGGUGGCUUGUGUCAUUUUGGGUGUUUGUGAUUGCUUAUGAGCAGAUUGGUGGGAUGGGAUCAGUUGCUCUUCUUGCAUUGGGAUUUAUGUUUACUGCCAAUAGUGUGGAUUCAACUAUGAACGCUGUAACGUCUUUCAGAAGUCAUAGCUUUCGUAGGUUUGCUAUCACUGCUUUCUUAACUAGAGGGAUAUUGAAAAAGUUGAAGACGAUUGUGGCGAUUGGGUUGAUUGUUGGAUUGAGUGUGGGUUCGUUGGCAGGUAUGAUUUUCUUUUCAUAUAAGAUUGGUAUGGAGGGGAAAGAUGCAGUUAUUGCGUUGAAAUCCCAUGUAGAGGAGAGUAACUAUGCUGAGAAAAUCGGUGUUAAGCAAUGGAUGGAUGAAAAUGAGGUUCCCGAGAUGGUGGAUAAGUACACCUCUCAAAUGUAUGAGACAGUAUUUACGCAGAUAGAUAGCUAUGCUAUGCAAUAUAAUAUGACAGAGUUUGUUUCCGGGAUAAAACAUUUUGUAAUAACCCCUGCCAAUAACUCAUUUAAUCAAUCCACAGCUCUGGCAUCCCCCUCUCCAUAUGCGGAGAAAUUCUUAAGCCUGAAAAGGAGGAUUAAAGAUCGUGAAUGGGCACAAAUAUAUACAGAAGCGGAUGUGAUGUUCAGGGAACUUCUGAUCACUAGAGAGGACUUGGUUGAAAAGGCCAAAGGAUUCGCUCUCCAAGGGGUAAAUAUAAUGCAACGGAUACUUGUAAGUAGCACAUCUGUCUUAGGUGGAAGCAUGAAGGUCGUGUUCUUGAUUGGAAAUUCCAUAGUUUCGGGGGCUGCUGGUCUUUUUAAUUUUGUAUCUCAGCUCAUGGUAUUCAUUUGGGUACUUUAUUAUCUUAUCACAUCGGAUUCUGGUGGAGUAACAGAACAGGUGAUGUCUAUGCUCCCUAUGUCACAUUCCACAAGGAGGCGAAGUGUUGAGGUUCUUGACAAGGCUAUUUCUGGGGUUCUUCUAGCAACCGCUGAGAUUGCACUCUUUCAGGGAUGCCUGACUUGGCUCUUGUUCAGAUUAUUUUCCAUACACUUUUUGUACAUGUCAACAAUGCUCGCAUUUCUUAGUCCUUUGUUUCCUAUUUUCCCAUCACUGUUUUCAACCAUACCAGCUGCUUUACAGUUGGUUCUUGAAGGUCAAUAUGUAUUGGCCGUCAUCCUAUCCAUUAUACAUCUCGUGCUGAUGGACUAUGGUACAUCCGAAAUCUUGGAGGAUAUCCCAGGCUAUAAUGCUUAUCUCACUGGUCUCAGCAUUAUUGGAGGGAUGACAUUGUUCCCUUCUGCAGUUGAGGUAACCACAUACAAUACUCUCUCUUGAAUUUCCAUUAUGACUUUUCUUGCAUUACCUAUACUACCUGUCAUGUUGUCUUCGUGUUGAGAGUGACGAAGGAAGGGAACAUGGAGAAUUCGCAACUGCUAUACAUCAGCUAUUAAAAUAUCCCCGAUAUUAGACAGAAAAAUGUGAACUUUUUUUAAUCCUUCAUUUACAAGGGAAAAAUGAUUGUCAUGCAAAACAGCAUGACAGGAAGGCGAUAAUUCUACUGGGGAAAGAAGCUAUGAGUGUCUUCCCUUUCAACCUUAUUCUCAACUCCAAUUGUUGUCUAGAUCAUGAUGGUUUCGGAACUAGACUAUCUUCAUUUCACUUGGAGUUCAUAGUCAAAAACACACCUAAACUAUCACUCUUUUUACCAUAGCUAUCAAUUGUUUCCGUUUCCUACCUGAACUACCAAUACACAACUUAUUAGGCUAACAAUCUGUUGUUUCCUUGCUGCCUUCUGCGCAUGCUUAAAUGUCUCCUUUUUUUAUAUGUCACUCGAUGACUUGAGUAGGACUGAACACAGGUGUACUUAUUUAAAUAUAUAGAUGGUGAUAAUUUAUGUAGGAAAGGGAACAAUUGAUAAUUGGGGUGUGAUCUCGUAAAAGAAUGAUAGUUGAGGUGUGUUUUUUGACCAUCAUCUCUUUCACUAAGAUGAUUUCUUCACCAUAGAAGUUUCGAGUGGUUUGAUAUAUUACCUUUACAAAUUUUGUAGAACCACCACUAUAAAGAAAGAUUUUCAAAGGAGAACUAGGGAAGUUGGAUGCUUAGAGCUGGUAAAGGUUUUUCAUAUAGAAAACUUUAGGUGUAUUUUCAUGCUGAGCACGCAAAGAUUGUCGCCCAUGCUAUUGUCUUGGGACUAUUAUCCUUAUCCCAUCUACCUAACGACCCCUUAAAGGUUGCAUCUAUUUUAAUAAUUCUCUACUUUUGUCGCGCAGGGAGCAAUAAUGGGACCACUAAUAACUACUGUUGUGAUCGCGAUUAAAGAUUUGUAUGUUGAGUUUGUAUUGGAAGAACAGAAGGAAUAAGCCGAACAAAUCUGUGUUUGCAAUGCCGGAGCCUUUGAAGACAUUGACAGAAACAUUGCAAGAUAAAGUGAAUUCUUUUUUCUCCCAGUCAACUAUUGUUUGUAUUCUACAUGUGUUUUGAGGUUUUUUCUUUUUGUUUCUCAGAAAAAGUUGUUGAUAGUGUGCAGAAGUUUGGUAAAUGAUUAAAUUGGAGGAUGCAAUUGUGUAUUGCAUCUUCUUUGUAAAAUCUGAGAACUAGAAUUGGUUUGAGAACUCAUUUUGUAGCCCUUCCCCCGACACUACAUGAACGCUACAUUCUUAGUACAUCGAACUGUCCUGUUUUUCCUCUUUAAAUGUUAUGACCAAUGACCAACGCCCAACAGUAUUGAUUGAGAACCAACAAAUCGGGUUUUGGUUCGACCCGAUUCACACCGGAGGGGAAAGGAAGACGGCCCAGUUUAUGUGCUUGGGCCAAAUAAUGGGCGCCGUCCAAUAUUUCACCAUUAAUAACACGUGGGGUCCAAACUAUGCAUUAUUAAAUGAAUUUAUAAUAACAGGAAAAAUGUGCAAUUUUAUGAUCCUAUGAGAAUUUAAUAAAUAAUAUUCCUCCAUUGAAUUGGAAAAUAUCUAAAUAGAGACCCACAAUUCAAUAUUUUUAUGAUUUGUCUUUUUUUCUUUGCCACAAUUAGUUGGAGAAGCUAUGGAACACAAGAGGCCUUGGUCGUAGCGUACGGAUUUGGUCGUAUUUAAUAAUUCAAUUAUUAGUAUUAAAAAUUAUUAUAUUCUAAAAUUUUAAAUUAAUAAAACUCGAAUCUCCUAUGAUUUUUAAUAAACAAAUAGUUACUAUAUCAACUCUUGUUAUUUCCUUUUACUAGGCCAAUAUUAGAUUUGCAUUAAAAAUGAUAAGUCUGAUGCAUUAAAUGACUAGAGAAAAGAGGACUGAACAACGGUCUAUUGUAUGCAGUCUUAUCUUAUAUUUCUGUUAGAGGUUGUUUUCAAGGGUUGAACACGUAAUAUCCUGAUCAUAUGACAAUAACUUUAUCAGUAACUGAAUCUCAAAUUUAAUUUUUAUACAUAAUUAAUAAAUUUCUUAAUACAAAUAUAAAAUUUAAAUUAAAAUUAUUAAAAUUUAAUUAAAUUCAUAAAUAACCUUUUGGCUCCGUCCCCAUUAAACUAUUUGUACAAAAUCAAAGGCACCAGCCCAGACAGUGGUUGACCACAAAUAUUAAAGUACACAUUCUCUUGGUAAGUUGGUAGGGAGACGCAAAGAGAGCCAUGUUGGUAAAAUUAACGGAGCUAGAAGUUUAAAUACGAAUUUAAUCGAAUUUAUUAUUUAUAUAUAUGUUAAAAAAUGUAUUAAAAAUGUAUACAUAUUAAUACCUAGAUGGUUGUUACCCUUAGUAUAGUAUUGUAUUAUUAGCUUAAAUACAAUAUUUAUUUUGAUUGUUAUUUAAAUUUCAUUAUAUCUAUUGUUUAAAUCCAUCAUUAGAAAACGAUGAAAAUACUUAUUUGUGUAACGAUUGAUUUGGUGUGAUCGAAUCAUUACCUUAAUCUUUUCUUCUCAUUUAACUUCAUUUAUUAUUUAAUAUUCUAUUUUGUCAUUUACCCUACCUUUUCAUAGUAAUUUUACCACACAUCCUAUAAUCUUUUGUAGGUUUAUUAUUCAACUUAUGAAUGUAUAACAUUAUGCAACGACAGAGAAUGAUAUAAUCUAUCCAAAUAUUGUGUUCAUUAAAAUAACACAGUACGAUACAUACAAUACAAUGCAAAUACAACAUAAUAUGAUUCAUUAUGAAACAAUACAUAACAACCAUUCAAACAACGCGUAAAUUUAAAACUCAAAUAUUAACACUUAAAACAAUCAUUAUAAAAUUCAAAACGCAUAAAAUAAAAAUUUUCGAUUUCGCCUCUGGUCCCACACAACACAAUGACUAUUGUUGCUUGUGCUGCUGGAUUUUGAUUAGGUGGCCAACUGCUUUCCUCAGCAACCGAUUAACUACUGUACCCGCCACUAUUUCACAAAAUUUAAUUACAAAAAUAUAUUCAAAUAAAAUAAAUAAUAAUAUAUUAUCUUAAUAUUUAUAUCAAAAAAAUUGGAUUGACUCAAAGUUAACAUAAUUUUUUUUUUAAAAAAAGUAGAGUAAUGUGCAUUUCAAGAACCCCACACUUGCUUUCAUUUUUCAUAUUUUGCUUCUUCUCAAAUUAAAAAAAAAAAAAAAGAAAGCCAAAAUCUUCUGAAGAAGUUAGGCCAACAGUUAUACUUUAAAAAAUUCACUUGAAAUCAAAGCAAUAAAAGGGUCUUUGUUUGAUUAUUGGUCACCAUCUUGAAACCAAUCUUUACCUUAUGUCAUGUUUGGUUCAACUCCAUUAACCUAUUUUUUCUUCUUGUUUUUUUUCCCCUUUUUAUUCCCACUUUCAUUUCUCUUGUUUUGUGUUCUAAGUUCGUUUCUUGUUUACCUUCUUAAAGGUGGGAACUUUUUUGUUUGUCGACUGAAUCAUUCUUUUGGUGUCAAUAGUAGUGAGCUGGUUAGAUACCUGGGGCAAAGGGCUUGUAGUAUCCCUUUGAUUGAUUCACCCUUUUCUUCGCUUCGGUAGUAGUUCUUGUCUCACCUUCUUAAAGGUGGAAACUUUUUUCAUUUCGACUUAGUCACUCUUUUGGUGUCAAUAGUAGUGAACUAUGUGAGCUGGUUAGAUACGUGGGACAGAGGACUCGUAGCACCCUUUGAUUCAUUCACCCUUUUCUUCGCUCCGGUAGUGAAUCAUUCCUCUGUUGUCUCACUUUCUUAAAGGUGGGAACUUUUUUGUUUCGACUGAAUCACUCGUUUGAUGUCAAUAGUAGUGAACCACGUGAGCUGGUUAGAUACGUGGGGCAGAGGGCUCGAAGUAUAAUACCCCUUUGAUUGAUUCACCCUUUUCUUCGCUCCGGCAGUGAAUCAUUCCUCUGUUGUCUCACUUUCUUAAAGGUGGAAUCUUUUUUAUUGAAGUUCUUGAAAUUUUGCAUUAGUUGUUAUGCAAGCAAAGAUUGAAACUUGGGGAAAUUUUGCUUCUCUUUGCAAAAUUCUUCUAUUAUCCCACAUGCUAGUAUUGAGUAUCGACUAGAUCACUCUUUUGGUUCAGUUGGUGAAAUCGAUACAUGGGGCAAAGGGCUCGUAGUACCUAAAGGGGCACGCUUGCACGUCUUACUACAAAGUUGAAAUUUCUCCCUAUUGAAAAACCUUGUAAACACUUAGCUAAAAAAAAGUGUCAUCAUUUCGAAUCAUGAGUAGCCGUUACUUUAUAACAACAGACUCAUUGUGUAAUCCUAGGAUUAUUGUUCCAGAAAGAAUGGAUCUUGAUGUAAGAAGGACACUCCCAUCUUCCUCUUCGUCUUCGUCUUCAUUCUUGACACGAAUGGCAAUUAGAAUAUCAAGAUCAAGAUGUUUCAGUUUCUUGAGAAGGGUGUUUCAUUAUCAAAAUGGUUCAAGAUCAGAACUCGGCUCGAAUCCUUUCAAUUCUGUCACUUGGAUUAUGAUGGANUUUAAAAAAUUCACUUGAAAUCAAAGCAAUAAAAGGGUCUUUGUUUGAUUAUUGGUCACCAUCUUGAAACCAAUCUUUACCUUAUGUCAUGUUUGGUUCAACUCCAUUAACCUAUUUUUUCUUCUUGUUUUUUUUCCCCUUUUUAUUCCCACUUUCAUUUCUCUUGUUUUGUGUUCUAAGUUCGUUUCUUGUUUACCUUCUUAAAGGUGGGAACUUUUUUGUUUGUCGACUGAAUCAUUCUUUUGGUGUCAAUAGUAGUGAGCUGGUUAGAUACCUGGGGCAAAGGGCUUGUAGUAUCCCUUUGAUUGAUUCACCCUUUUCUUCGCUUCGGUAGUAGUUCUUGUCUCACCUUCUUAAAGGUGGAAACUUUUUUCAUUUCGACUUAGUCACUCUUUUGGUGUCAAUAGUAGUGAACUAUGUGAGCUGGUUAGAUACGUGGGACAGAGGACUCGUAGCACCCUUUGAUUCAUUCACCCUUUUCUUCGCUCCGGUAGUGAAUCAUUCCUCUGUUGUCUCACUUUCUUAAAGGUGGGAACUUUUUUGUUUCGACUGAAUCACUCGUUUGAUGUCAAUAGUAGUGAACCACGUGAGCUGGUUAGAUACGUGGGGCAGAGGGCUCGAAGUAUAAUACCCCUUUGAUUGAUUCACCCUUUUCUUCGCUCCGGCAGUGAAUCAUUCCUCUGUUGUCUCACUUUCUUAAAGGUGGAAUCUUUUUUAUUGAAGUUCUUGAAAUUUUGCAUUAGUUGUUAUGCAAGCAAAGAUUGAAACUUGGGGAAAUUUUGCUUCUCUUUGCAAAAUUCUUCUAUUAUCCCACAUGCUAGUAUUGAGUAUCGACUAGAUCACUCUUUUGGUUCAGUUGGUGAAAUCGAUACAUGGGGCAAAGGGCUCGUAGUACCUAAAGGGGCACGCUUGCACGUCUUACUACAAAGUUGAAAUUUCUCCCUAUUGAAAAACCUUGUAAACACUUAGCUAAAAAAAAGUGUCAUCAUUUCGAAUCAUGAGUAGCCGUUACUUUAUAACAACAGACUCAUUGUGUAAUCCUAGGAUUAUUGUUCCAGAAAGAAUGGAUCUUGAUGUAAGAAGGACACUCCCAUCUUCCUCUUCGUCUUCGUCUUCAUUCUUGACACGAAUGGCAAUUAGAAUAUCAAGAUCAAGAUGUUUCAGUUUCUUGAGAAGGGUGUUUCAUUAUCAAAAUGGUUCAAGAUCAGAACUCGGCUCGAAUCCUUUCAAUUCUGUCACUUGGAUUAUGAUGGAAUGUAUAGCUUUAAGUGUUCAAAUAAUUGUUACAACAUAUACUUUAGCUGUUACAAAAGAGGAAAGGCCUGUUUGGCCAAUGAGAAUUUGGGUAUUUGGAUAUGCUUUUGGUUGUGUCAUUAGUCUGAUCCUGCUUUUUUGGAGAUACUGGACAUUAUAUGUCAUCCAAACAGAUGCAAAUUCUGAUAUUGAGCAACAAAUAAGCCACGACGAAUCAAGGUAACUAACUAACAUGUUAUAACGGUUAAUUAACGUUGUUUUAAGUGAUCUGAUAGUGUAAAAAUUACAUUUUUUCAGGGCGUUGUCGCCUCAGAUGGAGAGAUGUAGGACAUCAAUGGAGCUAUUUUUUGCCAUAUGGUUUGUGAUGGGGAAUGUUUGGAUAUUUGAUUCAAGAUUUGGAUCAUUUCAUAAUGCCCCUAAACUUCAUGUCCUUUGCAUAUCAUUAUUGGCUUGGAAUGCUGUCACAUACUCUUUUCCAUUCAUAUUAUUUGUGUUGUUGUGUUGUUGUGUGCCAAUUUUGAGUAGCUUUCUUGGCUACAAUAUGAACAUGGGAUCAAUGGAUAGAGGUGCAUCUGAUGAACAACUCAACAAUUUGCCUAGGUGGAAGUACAAAGAAAGAGGAAAUAAAGAGGAAACUACAAGUAAUGAUGUAAGUCAUCUAUUGAAUUGCAAAAUACUCCUCCCUUUUGAUUUGAUUGUCUUACUUUUCUUUUUCAUCCGUUCAAAAACAGUAUGUUUCCUUCCUUUUUUCGGUGACUCUUUAAUUUCAACUUUCCACAUGAUAUGUUUAAGACCACAAGAUUAAAGGACAUUUAAAUAACAUUUCACGUAUUUUUAGUUUAAGAUCAUAAGAUUCAAAAAAAUUCUUUAAUUUUCUAAAUUUCGUGUCAAGUCAAAACUAGACAAACAGAUUAAAAUGAAAGUGUAGUUAGGAAAAUCAUAUCGAAUUUCUAGAUUGGAACAUAUAAAUGAUAUAAGCAAAAAAAAAAAUAAUCACUUCUAAAAGGUUAGUUGCUUCUCAUCUUUCAGAGACUUCUUGCUCGCCUAAGAUGAUAACAAGAGCAUAUAUCGACAAAGGAUUAUCCUAUGAUGAUCAUCUAGUGUCUUUUGAGAAUGAAUUUAAUCAUAUGAUUUUACUUUUAAAUUUUUCUUACUCCUACAAAAUCAAAGUCGAAAAGAUGGAAGAUAUCAAUCAUUCAUGAUCAUUGAUGAAAUAUUCCUUGAAGUUUGAGUAUUCAUUUUUAAAUAACGAAAAGGAUAACCUGACACCAAAUAUUUGACCUUCGAGACAUUUGAACUUUUGAGUAAUUUACAUACAACAUACUUUAAUAUAUCACGUUACUGUUAUAGUUGGUGAAAUUCAAGUACCUUCCUAUAAUAAAAUAAUUUUAUAAUUAUACUAAUAUAAUAAAUAAAGUUCAAUGAUCAUACGUGAAAUUUACCCUAAUUUUAUGGCAUGACAGGAAUGUUGUAUUUGUUUGGCCAAAUACAAAGAGAAAGAAGAAAUCAGACAGCUGCCUUGUUCUCAUAUAUUCCAUCUCAAUUGUGUUGAUCAAUGGCUCAAAAUUAUCUCUUGUUGUCCUCUAUGUAAACAAGAAUUAGAGAGAUAAUUCAUCGACAGAGUUAAUUAUCAGAUACCUAUAUUGAUAGAGAUAGCAGAUAUCAUCGUAAAAAUUAAUCCAAAUAUAAUGAUCAUAAAAAAAUUAAGCUCUUGAUAGUACUUAUACUUUUUAUUUAUUUACUCCCACAUCCCAAUUUUCCUUAUUUCUUCUUUCCUUUUAUUUAUUUUUCUUAAAGAAAAAGUCAACAUAAAUUGUAUGUACAUAUAGUUACUAGAGUGAGUAAAAAUAUCUUAAUUAUACUUUAUAGCUAUAUUUUGAAUAAUUCCAUUUUAUAACUAUAGUCAUAACAUUAAUUGUAUAAUUCGUGCAACAUUUGUAUACGUUUAUAUAUUUCGUUAUACAAUUCGUGCACAACGUUUGUAUACUUUGCUAUACAAUUCAUAGUAUUUGUAUAUUUCUCUAUUCAAUUUGAUUCGUGUACAUCGUUUGUAUAAGUCGCAUGAAUUAUAUGAAAUUCAAACUAUAAUUACAACUAAAUGUUUACCACGAGUCGUAAUUAAUUCAAACUAAAGCUAUAUUAGCUAAUUAACUAGUAUAGAUUUGUUUAUCUGGGUAUUUUUUUCUAAAUUAUUUGUAGUUUUAUUCCCAGUAUUUGAACAAUAAUAAGAUUACAAAUCAUGUCACUUAUUGAUGAAAAAUAAAGUUAUGUGACCAUUUUUGCAAAAUAUAAUAAACAAAAUAAUUUUGGAUUAAUACUUUAAUGGUUAUGGGCUUUUUUCCAUUACACUCCCUUGGGCCCAUCUUAAUUUUUGUACUUUUUUCUUUCAACUUUUAUUGUUUUAUUUUCUUUGUCUGUGCUACUGGGUAUCAUUUUGUAUUAUUUCUAACUUCAUGACAAAAUUCGAAUAUUAUAAAUAAACACAAUUUCAUAUCUAAGGAAUAUUACUCGAAUCUGAAUUAAUUGAAUCAAUAAAUUUUUACUAUUAAAUAAUUUAAAAAGGAAAAAACAUUAUACCAAGUCUUAUCACUUUUUCAAUACAAUGGUCAAUGGAACUAGAUAUUUUGUUUUUUGAAGAAAAUGUAAAAUGCACUCAAUAAUAAUAAUAAAAAAUAUUCAUCCAAAUAUUGUAAUUUUCAUUUUACACUCAACAACAUAAUUUUAUCGAUUCAACAAAAGAAUUCCUACUUGCAUUAGAGGCCUUCCAACGUACCUUUGUUGAUGAAUUAUCAUAACAAUAACAUAUUUAAUAUAAUUUCAUUGAAAUUACCUGAGGACUGCCUCUAUUUAUGCUUGACCAAAUGUUUCAUCAUUCUUUAUUUUAGCUCGAUACAGAGGAAAGACGGAACAAUUUAACCGAUCUAUAGGAAGGAAUACAAGAAAAGAAAGCACUUUGGGAGCAAAGACGGACCUACAUAGGUGCUAGGGGGUACACUCGAAUCCUCUUGACAAAAAAUUAUAUUAUAUAUAUAUAUAUAAGAUAAAUUUUAUAUAUUUCCGUACAUAUACUAACUAUGAACCACCUAAAUCAAGGAGGAGAGAUAGCCCAGUGGUACUACACCGCUCAACUUGAGCCACAAAUACUAUCCUCACAGGUUUGAUUUCUACUGAGUGCACAGGUUGUAAACACGCUUGAGAAGUAUCAACAAUAAUCUCUUUUUGGAGUUUGUACUUUGCACUGUACUUCACACAUCCUGAAUUCGCCAUGGGUUGGAAGAGGUUGAACUUUGAAGUGAGAUUUAGAGAGGAUGGUGUGUACGUGAUCUUACCUCUAUAUAUCUUGUGAAGGUAGAAACAUUAUUUUUAAUAGAUUUUCCACUUAAUAAAAUUAUAUCAACAUCAAGUACAGAUACAACAGCAAAAAAACUCACGCUAGAAACAAAACAAAGGAAAUUAACACAAACAAUAAAUAAUCAAAGCAACGUAAACAACAAAUAAUAAUAGAACCAAUUAAUACAAUAGUAAAAGAAUUACUAAGUUGAAUAAUUCGUAGUGUACACGAGAUACUUUCAUCGAUAUCACUAGAUUGUAUAAAUAUACAAUAUUUAGCAUUAACAUGUAUUUGACAGCUGGCAAACAUGGCUAGGCCUAAUAUCAGACGUUUGGGGCACCAUAAAUAUAAUUUAGUUUCCGACAAGGACACAACUUAUUGCAAAUUACAAAACACCUUAAAAAUAAAAAGGUUAAGGAACUUCUUCAUCCCCUACCUUUUUUUCUUCAAAAAUUUCUUUGUGAUUCUGCAAUCAUCUGAAAUCAAAUCUCCAUUUAUUCAUAACCGUAAGUAUUGUUUCGUUUCCAUUUUUCGAUUUUGAUUCUCAUGUUGUGAUUUUUCUGUAAUUAUUAGAUCUGUUUGUUAACCAAAUCUAACUGUUUGUUUGAUGAGUUGAAAUUCUUGAUCCAAUUGAAUUUUCCUAUGAUAUACAGGUGUUUUUUUUGUGUUAUUUGAUGUGGGGUUUCUUUAAUUUUGUUGUUUGUUUAAGUAAAGUUUCGAAAUUUAAGCUAAAUUUGACUUUAGAUCCAAAGUUUCAAUUUUUAUCGAAAUUCAAUUCCCAUUUAUUCAAUGAGCUAUGGAGAAGGGAAUGUUAUUUUGGUGGAAAGUUUGAUGAUUAAACUAUAUGUCAAGAAAUUUUGUGUUGGAUUUUCCUUGAGGUUGGUAUGAAGUGCAGCUUGUGUUGAAUGAGUCUAUGAACUAAUGGUGAAGCCACGAUUUUCAUUGGGGGAUUCAAAAUGUAAAAAAUUAAAAAAAUUGGAGAAACUAAGGAGAUUCGACAUGUUAUGAUUUUGUAUGUUUAGUGUAGUUUUCCGGCGAAGGGGAUUAACCAGAACCCCAACGCUGUGCUAUGAACUAUACAAAUGGGGGACUGGAGAAGAGUAAUAAUUACAAAAGAAGAAUAUGGUGUGACUCGUUAAUAAUUUCUUCGGGAUGAUGCAACUAGAGCAAAGUGGUUUUUAUCAAAGUUGAAGUUGAAGAUGCACGUUAAGUUAUGAUGAUAAAUUGGCGGAAUUUAAAUUGCAUGAGGAGCAUAAUCAAUAAUGAUAAUUAAGUUGAAAGAUUUUACCUUGCUGACGGAAUUGAAGGGUGUCUCUUAGUGCUUCGUUUAUCAGUUUUAAUAGAUAUUUAUGUAACUUAAUUGUGUAUUCACGUGUUUGCCCUGACAGGUAUAUAGCUGCACAUAGAUAGGUUUCAGAAACUUUUGGUAUUUUGGGUUCAUACACAGACAUAACAGAGAAUGGUCAAAAGGUUAGUUUUGUUGUUCAUGUCCAACAAAUGGUUAUCUGGUUCAAAUGACCUGAUUAUAGUGGAUUUUUGACACCGUCCUCUGCCAUUCUUGUCGAACAGAUAUGGAGUGUUUUGAAGCAGAGACUCUACCAUGUUGCAGUGCUUAGGUUCUUACCUUUCGAGGUGCUGUGAUCUUGAUUUUAAGCAAACAGGGGGCCUCGACGAUCCUGAGGUCCUUGCACGAGAGACAGUUUGUAUGUAAUUGGACAUUUUGUAAUUUUUUUCUAGAAACAUAGAAUGAUUAUGGAAAAUAACAAAAGCUAAGUCUAACUGGUUCUGAGCUUUUUGCUUUUCUUAAUAGCUCGAAUUUGAUGAUUUGUACCUGCAUUUAAAGCUUAUUAUGGCUCUUUGGAAAAGGAUAACAUAUUCUCCUUUUGACCCAAAUUUUAAACAUUCUUUCCAUGUUGGGAUGUUCCAAAAUGUUUAAUCAAAUUUUGUUCAAAUGGUAAUACAUUGAUAUUCUAUCAUCCGAAACUAUGUAUCCAUUCAAAAAACCAUCUGAAGUAAUAAUUUGAUCUAUAAUCAGAAUUCACCGUGUUGUUCUUGUUGAAAAGAAUCUAAAGCUCAUUUUGUUAUCACAUUUUUCAAUCCAUAGAUUGUUAGUGUCUCAUGGUGUAACAACCCUUCCUAUUAUUAUAUUUAUUAUUAUUAUCAUUAUUAUCUUAAUAUAAAUAUUUAUAUUAAGAUAAAAAUGAUAAUAAUAAUAAAUAUAAUAAUAGGAAGGGUUGUUACAUUAAAUUAAAUAGGAAGGGUUGUUACACAUGGCUUGUGCAUUACUAGAAGUACCAUAACUGAGCCUACAUUAAUCUUAUUUCUUGUUGCAGUUAGUGUCAGUGAGAUCGAAGCUCUUUAUGAGCUCUUUAAAAAGAUCAGCAGUGCGGUGAUUGAUGAUGGUUUAAUCAACAAGGUUGGUGUCACCUGUUCUCCUAACAACAACUUAGGAAACUAGCAUGAAUGUUUUAACAAUCCUUUGUUUUUGAAAAAGAAGUAUUUACAUGGUCUAUUCUUGGCAUGGAUGCUUAAUAUAUAUUAAUCUUCAGCUGUACUUUUGGAUUAUGAGUUUGUAUCUUAUCUUACAGGAAGAGUUUCAAUUGGCACUAUUCAAGACAAAUAAAAAAGAAAGUUUGUUUGCUGACAGGGUACGUUCUCCUUAGCUGCCAUUAGCUCAAAUGUGAUCCCAAUGUAAUCGAUUUAAUUUUGAUAAAUUGGUUGAUGUUUUUCUUUUUUGGAUUAUUGAUAAAUUGGUCGCUGUUGAUCACCAAUAAUUAAAUCUAUUUGCAAGUAUUUUAUUUAGUGAAUUGAUUAUCAAUUUCCACGGCUUUCAUUGUACACUUUAUGAUCCAGAAUCUUGCAAAGCACUAGUUCUGUAGUACUAAUACCCUACGAGGGUGCCUCAGUCUGAAUGUCAAAGUGAGGUGAGCUCAGUAAGGCGGAGAGCACACUUCCUAUUGUUCAGCUUUUUGGGGUUUAAUGGUUUAGAAAAAGGCGACAAAAAUCCUAUCCAUUACCAAAAAACAUGGCUUAUAAGUUAUAAGUCGAUGAUCUCUGCAGCAAUAACAAAACCAGCCAACUUCUUAUUCAAUUGUUUACUAUAGUCUUUGUUCUUCUUUUUCCUUUGCUGGCUGUAUUUCUUCUGCUUUUAAGUGGGAACACUAUCUUGUAAUAAUUAACCCUGUCUAGUGCAAGAACAAGGAAUAUAGUCACAUGGAGUUGUACUUCACGAUGAAUCUUGAUGAUGUAGCAAAAAAAGGAAAUGAGUCGAACUUUCCGCAGAAGCUAUCUGGCUGUGGCCCGCUCUUUGGACCAACUACAACCUUCUAACCUCGAGGAUAAUGGGCCCGGUCCUCUACCCUUCUCCAUUUAAAUACUAGGCUUCGCUUUGCAUGGUCUGGGGCUUGAGCCUGUGACCUCAGCCACAAAUCCUCCAUCCUUUGCCACUCGAGCUAGGCCCUAGGGGCUACUUUGAAGGAUUAUGUUGAUAACAUUAGUCAAUGGAUAUGUGAUGUAGGACUCCUUUUUAAAUGAAUGAAGUAUGCUUUGCAAAUUUUGUUGAGGUUAUAGGGUUAUUUGGUCCAGCACCAAUUUUCAUGAAUAAGUUCCUUCUCUAAAACAAGAGGUAGAUCCAACAAGCAAUAAUUUUCUAAUAUAAAUGGAACAUAUAUGCAUGCUUCUGAAAAAGUAAAAUGACCAGCGAUGUUUGGAUAAAAUUCAAGUACUGAUGACAAUAUUGAAGUAAGGAAACAUGAUGGAGGAAGUACACCCAUGCUUCUUGUACUCUCUCCUUGUGCAGCGCGUAUAAUAAAUUCGAUCUUAAUGACAUUGUUAGAGUGCUCCUUUAAUGAAGUGUUUGUUCUGGCUGUCAAAUUGCAUGAAUCAAUUACAGUUAUUGUUGAAUAUGAUGAGGUAUACAAAUGUGAUCUGCGUAAGGCCCAUUAAGAUUAAUUAACUUUAGAUAUGACUUAAUGGAAAGUGAUAUUGAAACUUUGGAUAUGACUUGAAAGGACAAUGACUUUUUCUAACAAAGAUAUUCACUUUCAAAAAAUAUGACGAUGGAUGGUCAGUUAUAGUUUUGUUUGGAUGGUUGUUAUGUAUUGUUUUAUAAUGUAUCAUAUUGUAUUGUAUUGUAUUGUAUCGUACUGUAUUGUUUUAAUGAAUACAAUGUUCGGUAGAUUGUUAGCAUUCUAUGUCGUUACAUAAUAUCGUACAUCCCCAAUUUGAAUGAUAAACAUAAAAGAAAUUGUAGUGUAUGUGGUAGAGCUACUAUGAAAAAGUAGGGUAAAUGACAAUAGAAUUAUUAAAUAAUAAGUAAAGUAAAAAUGAAAAGAAAUAGUAAGGUAACGACGCUAUCACAUCAAAUUAGUCGUUACACAAAAUUGGUCUUUUCAUCGUUCUCUAACGAUACGAUAUAAUGGAAUUUAAGUAACAAUCAAAACGAACAUUUUAUUUAAACUAACAAUACAAUACAGUGGAUAACAAUUAUCCAAAUAAGGUGUUAAGGAAGUCAUAAGGAAAGUUUAAGAUUCUUACAUGUCUUGUGUGAGUGAGGAUAUCUUUGUUACCAAUUUCAGUUUUAUCCUUUUUUUUUAAUUCUGUUUCUAUGUUAUUUCCUUUAAUAUUGAAUCUCCACUUAAAUGAUAGAAUUACCCGGUAGCUUUGAUGAUUGUGGUGGACGCUAACAUCUUUAUUUCUCCUUACUCACCUAUCUAAUUGCAGGUGUUUGACUUGUUUGACACAAAGCACAACGGAAUCUUAGGUUUUGAGGAAUUUGCUCGUGCACUCUCUGUUUUCCAUCCAAAUGCACCUAUCGAUGACAAGAUUGAGUGUACGUUUUAUAUUUGCCUUACUCAUGGCUUUUAAUUUCUGUUGGUCGUGACUGCUUCUAAUGAUAUACUACUAUUGCAGUUUCUUUUCAGCUAUAUGAUCUCAAACAACAAGGAUUCAUCGAGAGACAAGAGGUAUUUAUAAACCUCACUAAGUGAAGUGAUUAACUCUCCUUGAUCUUGGAAGGCAUAGUUGAAGUAGUUGAAUGGCCUCUUAAGGUGAUACAUCAAACGCCCAGUGGACAGGUGGUCAAAGAUCCACCAAGGGGUUUUUGCCUUUAGGGCUUUUAGGCUAAGGAAUCAGGAAUGUACUCCCGCCGUCUCAUAUUGUUGGUCUUACUUCCUUUCUAUUUAGAAAAGAAUAUCUUUUUCCUUUCUUGGAAAUUUUUUAAUCUCAACUUUCCAAGUGGCAUAUUUAAGACUAUAAGAUUAAAGGAUAUUUUGGUACAAUCAACAUAUGUUUAAUUUAACAUCACAAGAUUCAAAAGUCUUUCUUGUUUCUUUUAAACUUCGUGCCAAGCAAAAAUUAGACAAAUAAAUUAAAACGGUAGGAGUACCUUUUGUACGAGCAUCUUCUGGCAUGUUCACAUUGGGGGACUCAAUUUUCUAGUCCUUUUUGCACUAUAUUUCUGAUUAAUGUGGGGGAUAAGUUGGUUAGCUUAUGCCCAUUUAAUGUAUCUCUUUUAAUUUUAUGAUAAGAAAAGAGUGUGUUGUGGUCGACCAAAGCCCAAUUUUGAGGAGGUCAGCAGUUUUUACUACCUUUCUGCUUCUGUUCCCUUUUUUUCCCCCUUAACACAACUUCACUUCCAUCUGGUUUACUUUUCUAUUUAGCAUUUUUCUUGUUUUUCUCUAUAUUUUACUUUCUCUAUAUAUAUUAACAAAAACUUCCGGAAAUAGCCUAUCUCUCUCUAUGAGGUAGUGGUAAGGCCUGCGUACAUUUUACCCUCCCUAGACCCCACUUGUGGGAUUCCAUUGGGUAUGUUGUUGUUGUGUUAACAAAAACUUCCGACAACCGUUCCUUUUACUCAUUUAGGCGUAACCUUUACCCUAUAUGUUAGCACAAAUUAAUUAUGUGCCAGGAACCAGAUUUGAACUUGUAUCACAAGGAUUUUCAGUCCUCUGCUCUGCCAACUGAGCUAUCCCGGCUAUUUCCAAUUCAGAUUGGGACAGGUGGUACGAGGAUUGACAGUCCUCUACUCUACCAAUCUCAAUUGGAACCGCUAACAUGAGGAUUUACUGUCCUUUGCUCUACAGUACUGGUUGCCGUCAUAUGUCGAUGUUCCAGUUUUUGUUGCUCUACUUAUGUUUCUUUGCGAGCUUUAUUAAUCAACAUUGUUUGUUUGUGUGUUGAUAAAAAUAAAAGACAUGACUUCUAAGUGCAGGUAAAACAAAUGGUGGUUGCUACUCUUGCUGAGUCUGGUAUGAACCUUUCAGACGAUGUAAUCGAGAGCAUAAUUGAUAAGGUACUUCGUCAACCUAGAAAGUACUUGUUUUGCAUGUUGUAUAAGUCCGGCAUAACGAUAAUGUUUCACCUCUUGGUCUUCUGCCUGUCUAGCUAUCUUUCUAUGUUGCUAUGGUUUAUGUUCGUUUGGGGUUCAUUUCCUUCUAGGAUAAUGACCAGGUGACUUAGACCUACAGGGAAAACAACCAUCACAUAUCCUCUGGAUUUCUGUUCAAGGAUGAAGUUAACGGAAAAGACCAGAUACGUUUAAUUAUUGUUUAGGCCCAAUGCUUACAGUGAUUCAAGUCUCAGUGUGGCUGAAAUUAGUUUAGGAUCUGUUGGUAGAUAUUACAAGAUUGCUCAUUUAUUUGGCUUCUGUUUUCUACAUCUAAUUAAUUGCGUGUUUGCAAAUGCACCGGGAAAAUCUCGUGCGCGCCAUGAUUAAAGAUUGCCAUUCUAAAAAAAGGGUUUUUUUAUGAUCAACUAAUGUCUCCUUGUUUUGACCCUUCGGGGUGGCUCAGUGGGUUUGGGCUUGAGACUUCCAUGUAGGUCGAAACCCCUUGCCAGUAAGUCGAGUUUGUCGCACCAGACUUGCCUAGUGUGAGUUACCUCUUCUAUGUGGUUUGCAAGAUAUUACAUAGAAGUGGGGGUUUACCUUGUGUGCACCCAAAGGAUAGUAGCUGCGGGUUCCCUUGUUAUAAAAAAAACUAAUGUCUCCUUGUUUUGCCAGACUUUUGAAGAAGCUGAUACCAAGCACGAUGGAAAGAUUGACAAAGAGGAAUGGAGAAAUUUAGUGUUGCGACAUCCUUCACUUUUGAAGAACAUGACUCUCCAAUAUCUCAAGUAAGUGUCACAUGGAAUAUUAACGUAUAUUGAUGUAGUUUUUUUUUUCCCAUUUUGCUCAAAUAUCUUCCUCCUUUAAUCAGGGACAUUACUACGACAUUUCCGAGCUUUGUCUUUCAUUCAAGGGUUGAGGACACUUGAUUUGGGAUUUGAGAAGACGAGUUGCUUACAAGGGUAAUAUAUUACUUGUCUUUUGCUUUCUGGGAAUCGCAGUUGGUGGAUUCCAUGAAAUAUAUAACAUUAUGUUUGGUCUUUCCAUUUUGUCCAUGUUAAAUUCGACAUCUUCUGGAUUUAUUAUUCUUUUUUGAAUAGUUGUUUUGCAAUUUGUUGCUAUGAAUUGAUGUCGAGUUUUGAAUGAUAGUGUAUUGUGCUUCUUGGUACACACCAUAAUUUUGCAUUUAAAAGUAAACAAAUCCCUCAGUUCAUCUCUCGUUAAUGGCUGUUGACUUCUUCUUCUUCUUCCAUUCUGUAUACUCGAAAGCGUUUCAACGUCUGCUCAAUUGGAAUGACAGCAAUGUUGAGAACUGAAAUAGGAUAAGUUCUACGAUAACAUACCUAGUGGAAUCCCAUGAGUGGAGUCUGUAAGGGUAAAAUGUCACAAAUUUUACUAUUAUUUCAUAGAGAUAAGAGGAGGUUAUUUCUCAAAAAAAAUAGGAUGAGUCUUGUGUAGAGAAAAUAAAAUAGAACAUGAACCAACCCAGGUUUUUUCAUCAGUUCAGAAACCAGCUUGAAGGCAACAGCUGCAUCAAUUAAGGGUGGACAUAUUUUGAGUAAUACUGACAACCAGAACCGAAAAGUUAUUGGUUAUUGUUUAAAAGUUAACGUAUGCGAUGUCCUCGUGUGAAUUAUAAUCACACAAAUAUUUAUAAUUUAUUUUGUACAUCUUUUCCUUAAUUUUCAAAUCAAGUCAAAUUAAAUAAAACUUCAGAAGUGCAACUUCUGAUAAAAGAUGGACUAUUUUGUUUCAAAAAUUUGUAUAUGCCAUCUUAUACAAAUUGCGCACUGGAGAUGUAUUAUACUACAUAAAUUGAUUGGAAUGAUUGUCUGCAUUUCCCCGACAAUUUUUCAUAACAAAAGUUCAAAACUGAACCUACUACUAAACAUCACCCUUAACUUCGAAUUUUAGAAUCCACCGUGCAUCACACAACUUACAAAGCACGGAGCAACCAAUUACAGUUCACCCCCCUUCUAAUGAUGCAAGAUAUUUCACAGAAAACAAAAGCUGGGCAAGAAAAGAACUAUUAUAAAGCCGAAAGUCGAAAUAAAAGGAGAAUUAUAACCUAAAAUCGAAAAGAACGACAUUAAUACGACCCUAUCAAAUAUUGUUCUCAUGGGGUAAAACAUAACUAAGAAAAAGUAGAGAAAAUUAGUAAGGGAACACCAUAAAAUAUCAACCAUUAGCAAUUAACUUAGUCAACCUCCUCCAUCUUGCUGCCCUCAGCAUCAGCUUCAGGAUCCUCCAAUGCUGGCAUGUCAACAUCCGCUUCUCCACUUUCCUCAUCAAUGCUCAAACCAAGUUUCAGCAUCCGGUGAAUUCUGUUGCCAAAGGUGUUUGGCUCCUCAAGGCUGAAACCUGAGGUGAGAAGGGCAGUCUCAAAAAGCAAGAGAACCAAGUCUUUCACAGACUUGUCAUUCUUGUCUGCAUCAGCCCUCUUCCUCAGCUCAUCCAUGAUGGAGUUCUCGGGGUUGAUCUCCAUGGUCUUCUUGCUAGACAUGUAUCCAGCCAUGCUAGAGUCCCUAAGUGCCUGUGCCUUCAUGAUUCGCUCCAUGUUGGCAGUCCAGCCAUACUCUCCGGUGACCAAGCAGCAGGGAGAGUCCACAACACGGUCAGAAACAACAACCUUCUCAACUUUGUCUCCCAACACAUCUUUAAUGACCUUGCAAAGUCCCUCAAACUUUGCCUUCAAUUCUUCAUGCUUUUUCUUCUCAUCUUCACUCUCAUCAAUCUUGAGGCCUUCCUUGGUAGCAGAAACAAGCUUUUUGCCCUCAAAUUCCUUCAACUGACCAAUUGCAUACUCAUCAAUGGCGUCAACCAUGUAAAGUACCUCAUAACCCUUCUUCUUCAGUUUCUCUAAGAAGGGAGAGUUCUCAACAGCCUUCUUGCUCUCACCAGUGAUGUAGUAAAUAUCAUUUUGGCCCUCCUUCAUUCUGGUUACGUAGUCCUUCAAGCUGGUCAUCUCAUCACCGCUCUUGGUGGAGUGGUAUCUCAGCAAUUCAGCAAACUUUGACCUGUACUGAGAAUCCUCAUGGAUGCCGAGCUUGAGGUUCUUAGAGAAGGCUUCAUAGAACUUGUUAUAGUCCUCCUUGUUCUCAGCGAUUUCAAAGAAAAGCUCAAUACACUUCUUUACCAAAUUCUUGCGUAUAACCUUUAGGAUCUUGUUCUGCUGCAACAUCUCUCUGGAGAUGUUGAGAGGAAGGUCCUCAGAAUCCACAAUACCCUUCACAAAGCUCAAAUAUUCAGGAAUCAACUCUUCACAGUUAUCCAUGAUAAACACACGACGAACAUACAGCUUGAUGUUGUUGGGCUUCUUCUUUGUGUCAAAAAGGUCAAAAGGAGCCCUUUUUGGAAUAAAGAGAACGGCCUUGAACUCCAACUGGCCCUCAACAGAGAAGUGCUUCACAGCCAGAUGCUCCUCCCAAUCAUUUGUCAAGCUCUUGUAGAAAGCAGCAUACUCUUCCUUUGUGAUCUCUUCGGGCUUUCUCAUCCAAAUGGGCUUCUGCUUGUUCACUAGUGACCACUCAUUAGAAACUUCCUUAACCUUCUUCUUUUUCUUCUCUUCCUUCUCCUUUUCCUCAUCAACCUCUUCUACCUUCCCCUCCUCAUCUUUCUUCUCUUCUUCCUCCUCAUCAUCAGAAAUUUCCUUCUCUAUGGUCUUCUCGACCCACAGAGAGAUAGGGUAGCUAAUGAACUCAGAGUGCUUUUUAAUCAGGUCCUUGAGCCUGCGUUCUUCAAGGUAUUCAAGCUGAUCCUCCUUGAGAUAAAGGACCAUUUUUGUGCCCCUACCAAGGCUCUCACCAGAUGUAUCCCUG
rnacentral:lncRNA from 1 species